rnacentral:rRNA from 1 species
GAUGAACGCUGGCGGCGUGCCUAAUACAUGCAAGUCGAGCGAACAGACGAGGAGCUUGCUCCUCUGACGUUAGCGGCGGACGGGUGAGUAACACGUGGAUAACCUACCUAUAAGACUGGGAUAACUUCGGGAAACCGGAGCUAAUACCGGAUAAUAUAUUGAACCGCAUGGUUCAAUAGUGAAAGACGGUUUUGCUGUCACUUAUAGAUGGAUCCGCGCCGCAUUAGCUAGUUGGUAAGGUAACGGCUUACCAAGGCAACGAUGCGUAGCCGACCUGAGAGGGUGAUCGGCCACACUGGAACUGAGACACGGUCCAGACUCCUACGGGAGGCAGCAGUAGGGAAUAUUCCGCAAUGGGCGAAAGCCUGACGGAGCAACGCCGCGUGAGUGAUGAAGGUCUUCGGGUCGUAAAACUCUGUUAUUAGGGAAGAAAAAAUGUGUGAGUAACUAUGCACGUCUUGACGGUACCUAAUCAGAAAGCCACGGCUAACUACGUG